ACAUCAUAGCGCGAUUUUCUUCAUCAAUGAAUGGUUUAAACAAUCAAUCAACGUGUUCUUCAAUUUCUUUGAAGAAACCCAGUUUAUUUUUAUGCAAUUUCUCAUUGUUUUUCAGUUUAACAUAAUGCGAUAGAACAUGAGAAAUUGAUUGAAGCAGCCUCUGAACCGCAACAAGCAAACAAGCUAGCAACUCAAUCUCAACCUUGAGAUGGAUCAUGAUUCUGGAGUUUGGAAGUUCUGUCUUAAAGAACCUAAUGAUCAUUAUGAAAAUCGUUGUGAGCUAAAUCCCCAAAACGUUCUAAAGAAAUUGAAGGUAUAUAAAAAGCUGGUGCAGUCUAGACCAGAGAAGACGAAUGUAAAGAAUAAGUCAAAGGAACCGAAUGUCAGAAGCUGUUGUGAUCAGUGGCGGAUACAGAAUUUUUUUUGUAGGGUGGGCACAAUACGGGUCGGUUAAAAUGGGUCGCCAAUAAAAUCAAUGAUAAAAUAACAUAGCUCAUUAGAUAUUUAAAUAUAAUUACGAAUCAAAACACUUAAACAAUACAAAUAAGACUACAACUUGAAAUAGGUAAAAAAAAAAUAGGCACCAUGUUUUACUCUAAGACAUCACCAAAACAAAUCACCAACAGUCCGAAGCAAAGCAAUAUAUCACAAUCUAAAAUAUGUAUUUUUGUAUAUUAACAACUUAUCUAUAAUAGAAUCAAAUUAUCAACUAUUAAAAACCAAAAAAAUAGAGAUAAAUGAAGUUAUCAACUAACAUGUUACGCAAAGCAAUAUAACACAAUUUAAUCUGUAUUUUUAUAGAGAUAAAAAAAUAACGAAAAAAGAUUGAAAGCUUACUAGUUACUACACUAUAUCACUUAAUUAGAAUCAAAAACCAAAAACCUUUGUUCAGAAUUCUGGCCGGUCGGGAAAGAGCCGACGAGGGAGGCGAUCAAGUGAGGAUGAAAUUCUUAUAGCCAUGCAACAAUUUGAUUAGAAGGACCGGAACAGAAGAGUGGGGGAUGAGGGGAAUGAAAUAUCGAAUUAGGUUGUUGGGGCUUGGUGAGUGACGACGCGUUCAAACAGAUGCAGAGAACAAGAUGUCCUAGUCACUUGGGCCUUUCAAGAUGUUACAAUGGGCUUUAAUUAGAAAAUUACCGAACAAAAUACACUAUCAAGUUGGAUCCUACGGUGGGCACAGGCCCACCCUCCAACUAUAGUGGAUCCGCCACCGGUAGUGAUACAAUGUCAGACUAGCUCAUGUGUGUCAAUUGGAAGCCAAACAAUGAUAGAUGUAUUGGGUAUGGAAGGCUCUGGAAAAUCAUCAACCAUCAGUGGUUUGAAUGGUGGAGGUGUGGAAUUGAAGAAUGGAGAAAUGAAUCAGGAUUUUAGAGAUGAAUCCAGAUUAUGGAGAUUGCAAGUUUUGUCUUAAACUUAAAGAUCAUUCUGAAAAUCGCUGUGAGCUGAAUCCCCAAAUCGUUAUGAAGAGAAUGGGUGUAUAUAAAAAGUUGCUGGAAGAUGAACCAGAGAUGUUUAGCGAGGUUAUUGCCAAGUGUCAAGAAUGGGUGGCAAGUCUAAAGGGCCGAAUGCCAGAAGAUGUACUAAUACAAUGUCAAACAGGCUCAU